rnacentral:rRNA from 1 species
GACGAACGCUGGCGGCGUGCUUAACACAUGCAAGUCGAACGAGAGGAGAAGGAAGCUUGCUUCUUUCAAAUCUAGUGGCAAACGGGUGAGUAACACGUAAACAACCUGCCUUCAGGAUGGGGACAACAGACGGAAACGACUGCUAAUACCGAAUACGUUCCUUAGGUCGCAUGACUUUAGGAAGAAAGGGUGGCCUCUACUUGUAAGCUAUCGCCUGAAGAGGGGUUUUGCGUCUGAUUAGGUAGUUGGUGAGGUAACGGCCCACCAAGCCGACGAUCAGUAGCCGGUCUGAGAGGAUGAACGGCCACACUGGAACUGAGACACGGUCCAGACUCCUACGGGAGGCAGCAGUGGGGAAUCUUCCGCAAUGGGCGAAAGCCUGACGGAGCAACGCCGCGUGAGUGAUGACGGCCUCGGUGUAAAGCUCUGUGAUCGGGGACGAACGGGUCAGCAGACGAAUACUCUGCCGAAGUGACGGUACCCGAAGUAGAC